rnacentral:rRNA from 1 species
AUGGGUCAUGGCAGCAUGACGAGGGUGCUCGCUCUGGCCGCUGCCAUGCUGCUGGCGGCGGCCGGCAUCGGCAUGGCGAGCGGGCAGCAGGCCGGCGUGCCGUCGAUCAUCUCACGGGACACGUUCGAUUACAUGCUGGGCAACCGCAGCCAGAGCGGCUGCGAGGGCGGCGCCUUCUACACAUACGACGCGUUCGUGCAGGCCGCGGACGCGAGCAAGCUCCGCGGCUUCGGCACCAUCGGCGACGAGGAUACACGCAGGCGCGAGCUCGCCGCCUUCUUCGGGCAGACCUCCCACGAGACUGCCGGUUACUGCUGGGUCAAAGAGCAGAAGCCCACGAUUGCGCGCUACUACGGACGAGGCCCCAUACAGCUGACUCACGACUACAACUACCGGCAAGCCGGGGACGCGCUGGGGCUGGACCUGCUGGGUAACCCGGACCUGGUGUCCACCGACCCUGUCGUCGCGUUUAAGACGGCUAUCUGGUGGUGGAUGACACCGCAAGCGCCCAAGCCGUCGUGCCACGCCGUGAUGACCGACGGCUGGACGCCGUCUACCCAAGAGCGCGACGCAGGCAUGCUCCCCGGAUAUGGUAUGACCACUUACAUCAUUAACGGCACCCUUGAGUGCGGCAAGGGCUACGGGACUGCCCCAGCCAAGGAUCGUGUCCGCUACUACAAGAUGUACUGUGGCAUUCUCCAAGUCGGGUACGGGGACAACAUGAUCUGCAAGAACAUGAAGUUGGCACAGCCACCCUUGUCUCCGCCGCCUCUCGGAGGCAUGAACCAAAUGCAAAGACGGCCAACACAGCCACCGUUGCCUGCACAAACUCUGGAAGAAUCUCCAAAAACUGGGCUUCUGAUCGGCAUUUCUGUCGGUUCUGUGUUGUUCUUGAUCAUUCUCAUCGCCUCGAUUUGGUUCCUUCUACGGCAGCACCAGCGAAAGCACGAGAAAAUCCGUCAGCAAACAACAGAGCAAGAGCUGGAAGAGGACAACUUCCUCGAAGAUGAUCAGGCCAUGGAAGACGACUUCGAGAAGGGGACUGGUCCCAAGCGAUUCCACUAUAACGAUUUGGCCGUCGCCACCGACAACUUCUCCAACGACAAGAAGCUCGGACAAGGUGGCUUUGGAUCGGUGUACAGAGGUUUUCUGAGUGAAUUGAACCUUCAUGUGGCCAUCAAGAGAGUUUCCAAAGGCUCCAGGCAAGGGAGGAAGGAGUACGCAUCUGAGGUGAGGGUCAUAAGCAGGCUUCGGCAUAAGAACCUCGUGCAGCUCAUCGGCUGGUGCCAUGGAGGCAGUGAUCUGCUCCUCGUCUAUGAGCUCCUGCCCAACGGCAGCCUCGAUAGGCAUCUCUACGGCGCCAAUAACGUUGUGCUUCCAUGGUCUGUUAGGCAUGAGAUUGUGCUGGGAUUAGGAUCGGCGCUUCUCUACCUACACCAGGACUGGGAGCAGUGCGUCCUGCAUAGGGACAUCAAGCCAAGCAAUGUCAUGCUGGACGCGUCGUUCAAUGCCAAGCUCGGCGACUUCGGGCUUGCCAAGCUCGUUGAGCACGGCCGAGGAUCACUAACGACAGCUCCCGCCGGCACAAUGGGAUACAUGGACCCAGAAUGCACGACCACCGGCAGGACCAACACCGAGUCGGAUGUCUACAGCUUCGGCGUCGUCCUCCUUGAGAUUGCGUGCGGUAGGGGGCCUGUGGUGGUAGCUCAGCAGGAGGAGGACGCGAUGCACUUGGCUCAGUGGGUGUGGAAUUGGUAUGGCAGGGGGAGGAUUCUAGGCGCCGCUGAUACACGAUUGGGAGGAGAAUUCAACGCCAGAGAGAUGGAGUGUGUGAUGCUGGUUGGGCUUUGGUGUGCUCAACUUGAUUGCAACCUGAGGCCGUCGGUUCGACAGGCUGUCAACGUGCUGCGUGCUGAGGCGCCGCUGCCGGUCCUCCCUGCAAGGAUGUCGGUGGCAGCUUACAUGCCGCCGUCGGUUGACAUACAUAGUUAUACUACUUCUUCGUUUGUAACCGUCGGCACUGGUGGUAGUGUGGACACAACUCGUCAAGCUGGACCGAAGCAUCUUCUUUGCUAA